AACUCAUGAACAACCUCUUCAGGACAACCUCUAGUUCAUCUGGCUAGAGACUGGUACAGCUUGACCAGCAGCUUCAGUGUUAUAUAAUAAGCUCCAAAAAGUUGAGAAACUGUUGAAGAAAAUCAUAAAGGCAGCAAAGCAAGUGAGAACAAGCAAUUACAAUGGAAAAAGUUACAACACUCAAAAGUACAGGUCUUAGUGUGAACGUAUGAAUAGAAGAAGAAAAUUUCUUUUUGCCUCAGUGCUUGGUCUCCAGAAUUCAAGUUUUAUUUAUCCAUCAUGUCAGAAGUGCUUCUCUCGGAUAAUCUUACUUCCCAAAAGGUAUAAUUGUCCAAAAUGUGGCUCUACUGGUGAAGCUGAAAAUGCCCGUUACAGAUAUAAACUUUCCUUAAAAGUUGCAGAAACAAACAAAUUGUUAGUCAUAACUAUAUUUGGAAGUGCCUUAGACACCUUUUUUGGUCUUACUGCUACUGAUUUGCACAGGUAUAUUCAGAAUCCUGAUAAGAUUCCAGAAACACUGGACAGUAACACAACUCAGGACCUACUUAUUAGAGCAGCUGAAACCUGCUUUGUU